UCUCCCAUGGUAGCUCGGGAAAUAUCUCUAUAUUUGAAAAUUGAAAAAUAGCCAGAAAUAUACAACCGAAGGAAGAAUAAUUCAUUCUAAGGAGAAAGUUAAAUAAAUCGAACUGCAGGGUGAGAUCAAAGCAGUAGUCUCUCCUUGUAGAUUUUAUAAUUUUCACAGUUUUCAUAUUGUGUUGACAGCAAACAUAUUUUACUUUUUAAAUGGAAAACAGAAUCGUAUGAUCCCAAUGCUGUCUUUAUCAAUGUCCCCCAGGACCCAAGUGAAAACAUUACCUUCUGCUGGUAAGUCUGUAGAGCAAGGUGGCGAUUCUACUUUGUGUUCUCAUCACCAGAGACGAUGCAUCAGAGACAGAAACUGGAGAUAUUUAAGACUGCCACCAUGUUUUUUAUUUGGCCUCGAGUGCAACAUUUAUUCUGUGAGAAAAUGAGACAGGACGGCCCGUGGUGACAGGGAAAGCCAGUCUCCUCCUGUUGGCUCCCUGGGAUAUCACUUUGAUUGGGAAAGUGUCGUGAGGCGCUCAUUCAUGAGGCAGAUCAGCAAGGAAAUGUCAAAACAUCGGCAAAUUGUUCAUAGGUACAACGCAUGACAGUGUUGACACCCUUUGCUUUUGGACCUCAAUUCCUUCAUCAAACAUGUGCAUCAUUAGGCAAAACACAACCCCCUAUAACAGGCAAAAGGUUACACAGUUAGCAAAAUUAAUGCAUCAAUGUAACCUCUCUGAAAUUCCCAGGAGAGUUCAUGUUUGCCCCUGAGGAUCUGCAAGGUGAGUUAUUUAUUCUCAAGAUGUAAAUGGCCAGAGGGGUUCACAUGGAAAACUGAAGAAAAAGAAGAUGAGCAAAACUUGGAUGAGUUUAGCAGUGAAACAAGAUCAUUGUUGAAGCUGGGAGGUGGAUAGCCUUGGGGGUCAUGAGGCUUUUCACCCUAAUUUUGUGUAAGUUUGAGUUUUCAUAAUAAAAUAUUAAUUGAGAGACUA